rnacentral:lncRNA from 1 species
AUGGGCACCCAGCAGAGCGCAGGGCAGGGAGCUGUGCCCCCAGCAGAGCCCCCAGCGCCCCCCUCCUGGGUGCUCCCUCAGCCCGCCCUGCUGCCCAGGGGCUGCAGCAUCCGUGCGAGGCGGGCGGAGCGGCUGCGUGCGCACAGCUCCCCUCUGUGUCUGCAGCGGGCAGCUUUCCCCUGGAGCACGCUGCAGCACUGCCCGAGGCUGGGGGCAGGGUCCCAGGAGACCCUGGCUGGCUCAGAAAAGGGAGGUGAGGUUUCAGCAGGGGCUUUUUGCUCGGUUGUUUCAUUUGCUUUCACGGUUCUCGCGUUUCCCAGGCCCUUUUCUGCCACACACGCAGGUGAUGUAUGCCACAGAAAACAUUUGCAUCCUUACAUGAGUGUGUGCCAGGGACUUGUGCUGAGGCCCACAUCCCCUCCCCUUCCCAGCCACCUUGCAGAGGCUGUCGGCGGGCAAGUUGGGUGGGUUCAUUGCACCGUGCGAGGCAGCAGGGGUGGGCACAGCUCUGCCUUGUCCCAGCCAAGGAAGCCCCCAGCAGCCCCCAGCAGCAGUGGGGCUGGCUGCAGCACCCAGCCGUCCCCAGCCCCUCCAGCAGCUCCUGCCGGACCCACGGCAGAUCAGCACCACUGUCGUUCCCCUUUGCCACUUCAUAAUAAACCAUGUGACCGUGCUUCCUGCUGCUGUUUCUGGGCACUGCUCACACGUCCUGGCACUCACGGCCGCCGUCCCUGCCUGCAACGGGUGCUGCCAGCUCCUGCCUCACCCCCAGAGCUCCCCCAGUGCCAUCAGCACCUCCACAUGGCCCCUGCCCCUCCUGGUGGCCCGGUGUGCCCCUGGCCCUGUACGUGGCAGCGCUGCCCUGCGGGGCUGUGCCAUGCCGGGCUGUGCCACGGUGUGGGCACAGGGUUAUCAGCGCCGUCCUUGAGCCCUCGCCAGCACCGGGCUGUGAAGAUGUGGGGGCUGCGGCUCUGCCCUCGGCUCCCUCCCAGCUCCCUGCAGCGAGUGUGGGGCUCUCCCAGUGCCCCCCAGAGCCCAGCCCUCUCUGGGGCUGCAUCCAGCCCUGCAGCAGCAGCCCAAGGCUCAGGGAAGGGUGCCCGUGGCUCACUGGGCACAUCGCACCCAUCGAUGGAGCAGAGACAGGCUCAGCACCCCCUGGAGCGGUGCCAGGCUCCCUGCAGCAGCCCCCACCCUCGCAGAGGCCCCAGGCACAGGUCGCACCAGGGGCUGUAG